GGCCAGACUCCUACGGGAGGCAGCAGUGGGGAAUAUUGGGCAAUGGAGGCAACUCUGACCCAGCAACGCCGCGUGAAUGAUGAAGGUCUUCGGAUUGUAAAGUUCUUUUCUAAGGGAAGAAGAAAGUGACGGUACCUUAGGAAUAAGCCUCGGCUAACUACGUGCCAGCAGCCGCGGUAAUACGUAGGGGGCAAGCGUUAUCCGGAUUUACUGGGUGUAAAGGGAGCGUAGACGGCCAGACAAGUCAGAGGUGAAAGCCCAGGGCUCAACCCUGGGACUGCUUUUGAAACUGCCGGGCUGGAGUGCAGGAGAGGUAAGCGGAAUUCCUAGUGUAGCGGUGAAAUGCGUAGAUAUUAGGAGGAACACCAGUGGCGAAGGCGGCUUACUGGACUGUAACUGACGUUGAGGCUCGAAAGCGUGGGGAGCAAACAGGAUUAGAUCCCCUCGUA
rnacentral:rRNA from 1 species